rnacentral:rRNA from 1 species
GAUGAACGCUGGCGGCGUGCCUAAUACAUGCAAGUCGAGCGAACAGACGAGGAGCUUGCUCCUCUGACGUUAGCGGCGGACGGGUGAGUAACACGUGGAUAACCUACCUAUAAGACUGGGAUAACUUCGGGAAACCGGAGCUAAUACCGGAUAAUAUAUUGAACCGCAUGGUUCAAUAGUGAAAGACGGUUUUGCUGUCACUUAUAGAUGGAUCCGCGCCGCAUUAGCUAGUUGGUAAGGUAACGGCUUACCAAGGCAACGAUGCGUAGCCGACCUGAGAGGGUGAUCGGCCACCCUGGAACUGAGACACGGUCCAGACUCCGACGGGAGGCAGCAGUAGGGAAUCUUCCGCAAUGGGCGAAAGCCUGACGGAGCAACGCCGCGUGAGUGAUGAAGGUCUUCGGAUCGUAAAACUCUGUUAUUAGGGAAGAACAAAUGUGUAAGUAACUAUGCACGUCUUGACGGUACCUAAUCAGAAAGCCACGGCUAACUACGUG